rnacentral:misc_RNA from 1 species
GCGACAUAGUGCAGUAAUCACAGGUAUGCAUCUAACAAAGUAACCUGUUUAGGAUCAUUGGGUUGCUGACUUGAUAUACUUUCAUUCAUCAGUAUGACAAAUCAGUUUAGGAUUGAGAAUCACAGAUUUAUUACGUAAUACAGUGGGUGAUUAAAUAUCUGAUUAGUUGUAAUCAUGUGUUUUUUUACAUCUAUCAUAUUACUUAGUUUCAAUAUAUCCGAACAUAUAUUGAUAUAUUUUAUUUCCUCAUAAAUUUUCUUGCAUUACCAGAUGCUGGAGCACUCCUCACUU